CUACCUCUUCGGAGGCCAGCAGAUUUUGUUAACAAUUUUAUGUUUUCUGCUACCUACGCGGAGGCCAGCAGGUUUUGUUAACAAUUUUAAGUUUUCUGCUACCUACGCGGAGGCCAGCAGGUUUUGUUAACAAUUUUAAGAGCUCUUUAUUUUCCUGCUACCCACACGGGGGCCAGCAGGUUUUGGUUAACCAAGAAUAGAACCGUGCUCUGUAGAGCCGGUUGUGUGCACACAGAUUGGUUUACAAUAAGUGAGGCAAAAAUACCAAUAAU